ACGGCAGUUUCCGAAAAGCCGAAUAGUAAACAGAGUAGGAA
rnacentral:ncRNA from 1 species